GGUAUCAUCAACAAUUGAUAAGGCCCGUAACGCAUUCAAAACGUAAUCUUAGGUAUGUCCUCUACUGUAAAUAUUCAAAUUGUGAUUAUAGGAUCGAAGAUCAAUCUUAGAGAAGACUAGUGCUCUUUGCAGCUGAUCAAAUAAACCAUCUAUUCGAGGUAAAAAAUGCUGGUCUAUCCUAAAGUACUUAAUGUCCGUCCCAUCUACGCUCAUCCUAUAUUGAGCUCAAUACAUUAAAAUCUUUGCUUUGAUACCACUUUAUGUCAUGCCCCAAGUCUAGAGCAAAACACAUCCAUGCUAGAGCUUCUAAAUCUUUAAAAUACAAAUGUCCUCAUUCCAAAAUCUCAAAAUCUAUAAAUCAUCAACUACAAGUCUA
rnacentral:lncRNA from 1 species